UUAAAACACGAGUUCACUUACAAUCAAUGAAGUUAAGCAACAUCAAGCCUGGUCAGUACCUAGAUGGGUGACCAUUUGGGAAUACCAGGUGCUGUU